AUCCAGUACUGUAGCCAAAGAGGUUUAUCCGAGGCGCAGUCAUUGCUAAUUGAAAACUUUUCCCAAAUUGAGUGCACCUCUAGGCAUCCUCACCAGUGAUACCUGAGAGUAUUGGGCCCUGCAUGCUUUUGCAG
ensembl:snRNA U4 U4 spliceosomal RNA